UACGUAGGGACCGAGCGUUGUCCGGAAUCAUUGGGCGUAAAGAGCGCGUAGGCGGCCCUGUAAGUCCGCUGUGAAAGUCAAGGGCUCAACCCUGGGAUGCCGGUGGAUACUGUCGGGCUCGAGUCCGGAAGAGGCGAGUGGAAUUCCUGGUGUAGCGGUGAAAUGCGCAGAUAUCAGGAGGAACACCAAUGGCGAAGGCAGCUCGCUGGGACGUGACUGACGCUGAGACGCGAAAGCGUGGGGAGCAAACAGG
rnacentral:rRNA from 1 species